CAGAUGAUGUAGGGUAGAGGAGCGUUCCGCCCAGGGGGAAGCCAAGCGCGUAAGCCGCGGUGGACAGGGCGGAAGUGAGAAUGUCAGCUUGAGUAACGCAAACAUUGGUGAGAAUCCAGUGCCCCGAAAACUCAAGGGUUCCUGCGCAAGGCUCGUCCGCGCAGGGUCAGUCAGGACCUAAGGUGAGGCCGAAAGGCGUAAUUGAUGGCAAGAAGGUUUAUAUUCCUUCACUAGUCUAGGCUUAGUCCUGAGGGACGAACAAAUAACACUCGGCACAAUGGCCUUCCAUGGUAGGAAGGGUCAAACCAUUGUUGUUUGAUGGUAUUUUUUCCAAGAAAAGCUCAUUCGACUUUGAGUCUAGACUACCUGUACCGUAAACCGACACAGGUGAGUGGGUUGAAUAAACUAAGGGGAGCGAGAUAACUCUCUCUAAGGAACUCGGCAAAUUGGCUCUGUACCUUCGGAAGAAAGAGUGCCCCUUCAUGGGGCCGCAGUGAAGAGAUCCAGGCGACUGUUUACCAAAAACACAGGUCUCCGCAAAGUCGUAAGACGACGUAUGGGGGCUGACACCUGCCCAGUGCCAGAAGGUUAAAGAAGUUGGUCAAUCUUUGAUGAAGCUAACGACUGAAGCCCUGGUGAACGGCGGCAGUAACUAUAACUGUCCUAAGGUAGCGAAAUUCCUUGUCGGGUAAGUUCCGACCCGCACGAAAGGUGUAACGAUCUGGAUACUGUCUCAGAGAGAGACUCGGUGAAAUAAAACUAUCUGUGAAGAUGCGGAUUACCUGCACACGGACAGAAAGACCCUAUGAAGCUUUACUGUAACCUGGAAUUGCUCUCAAGCUUAUCUUGCGCAGCUUAGGUGGGAGGCUAUGAACCUUUUCUUCUGGGAAGAGGGGAGCCAUCAGUGAGAUACCACUCUUGGUAAGCUAGAGCGCUCAGUCUUCACCGUCAUCCGGUAAGACGACAGUUUCAGGCGGGCAGUUUGACUGGGGCAGUCACCUCCCAAAAGGUAAUGGAGGUGUGCAAAGGUUCCCUCAGGCUGGACGGAAAUCAGCCAUAGAGUGUAAAAGCAAAAGGGAGCUUGACUGCGAGACUGACAUGUCAAGCAGAGACGAAAGUCGGCUUUAGUGAUCCGACGGUGCUGUGUGGAAAGGCCGUCGCUCAACGGAUAAAAGUUACUCUAGGGAUAACAGGCUAAUCUCCCCCAAGAGUUCACAUCGACGGGGAGGUUUGGCACCUCGAUGUCGGCUCGUCGCAUCCUGGAGCGGAAGUACGUUCCAAGGGUUGGGCUGUUCGCCCAUAGAAAGCGGCACGCGAGCUGGGUUCAGAACGUCGUGAGACAGUUUGGUCCAUAUCCUGUGUAGGCGUUUAGAGCAUUGAAAGGAUCUCCCCUUUGUACGAGAGGACCAGGUGGGGACAGACCGCUAGUGUACCAGUUAUCCCACCAGGGGUAAACGCUGGGUAGCUAUGUCUGGAGUAAAUAACUGCUGAAAGCAUAUAAGUAGGAAGUUCACCUUAAGAUGAGUGCUCUUUUGUCUCAACCGUUCAGUUUUACUGACAAAUGAAAGACAAGGAAGGUCACGGCAAGACGAGCCGUUUGAUAGGCAUGAAGUAGAAGUGCAGUAAUGCAUUCUGAAGCUGACAUGUGCUAAUAGACCGAGGGAUUUGAUU
rnacentral:rRNA from 1 species